GGAUAAAUAAUGACUCUGCAUUAUCGACCUCAAUCAAGUUUGAUAGGCAGUUUAGCAUCCUCUUAAAGACGUCUUAUAUCCCAAUUUUAGAUAUUGUGUUUGGAUAAUAGUCUGGGGAUAUUUUCCAAUGUUACCAAAAUAAGGCAUAAAGUAAAAUAUUUCUUUUAUAUGAAUAAAUAAUUAAAAAUAUUUUAUUAAUUUUGUUACGUCCGGCGGACUCCACGAUUUUCCUUUGUCAGAGAAACAAAUAAUAGCGUUUUUCACUGGUCGCACUAGUGCACACUCAGUGCGCACCAUCCGCGGGCAACGUGUUUCACUGGGCGUUUCGAUGCGCACGAAGAUAGUGCGCGCUGUUUCACUGGAAAGUUUAGUGCCGAGUUUUUGCACUAUAGUGCGGAAAUUUGGCACGAGCUCCGAGGGACGGUGUUUCAAACAUUGGUGUUUCUCAAUUCAGUGCAAUAUGGCAGCGCGCGACAUUGAAAACUUUUCCAAUUCGCGGAAUGCACAUUUAGCUUGAACUGCUAGGCCGGUAUUCAUAGUCGAAUCUUAUUCAAGAUUCUUAAGCACGAUCUUGAGACGUCAAUGCUGUUAUUUCAUUGAUUAAGUAAGUCUCAAGUCGGCUCGAAGCUAGACUUAAGAUAAUUCUUGAACUUAAGAUCGGUCUAUGAAUUCCGUCCCUAGAUUUGUUAUCAUUGUCAUCCAGCAGUGAUGAAGAAUUUUUCGCAGAAGAAAAUCCGCGGAAAAUUCCAAAAAUAGAAAAUUUUAUUGAAGUGGUACAUAACCUUAUGGAUAAAGAGGUAUAUUUAUCUAUUUCAUAGGCUUUUCCGAAAUAAAAAUAAAUUCCUAAUAUAAAGCAUGUAAGCCUGGCUGGACAUUGUCGUUAUUAUUUAGAGGUUUUUUAAUUUUUUAUAAUUGUAAAUAUUUAUUACUCGCAUAUAUCACAACAAACGUUUUGGCUCUCCGUUUGGGUUUUCAGUAUUCUUUUGAUUUGUAAACAAUUAAUAUUAUAAUGUCCUCAAUUCUAGUGCAAGAACUGAUUAAAAUUUAAUAAUGGGCAAGCAAAAAGAAAAUCAAUAAGAAUCAAUAAAAAUUUAUCUUAAAACCUUUAUUUGUGUUGUAAAAAUAUUAAUUAAAAUAUAUUUAUCUUAAAAUAUUAUAUUAUUAAUUAUGUAUCACAUUAAACAUAUAUAUAACGGAUUGCGGAUAUUAUUUGUUUACAAAAGAACACUAAAGAGGAUCCGAAAGGUCGAAACGUUUGUUGUAAUGUAUGCGAAUAGUAAAUAAAUAUUUUUUAUUUAAAAAAAAGAUUCUUAAAUAAUAAAUGACACUAACUGGCUAGACUUACAUGUUCUAUAUUAAUAAUUAAAUUACAUUAUUGUUAUAGUUCAAAAGUCAUUUUCGCGUUGAACAACAGCUUAUAAAAUAAUAGAAAUUUAUAAACAUUCUGGAUUCUAUCCACUUGAUCGGAGUCACGGAGGUAGUGAACCUACCACCGCAGAAUUGGAUAUUUUAUCAUUUCUGUGGUAAGUUUUUAUUCAUUUGUAUUGAAAUACUACUUAUAAUUUCUGUGUUAAUAGUAAUUGAACAUUCCAUAGGUUUGCUGGGAAUAAAGUCUGCCUUAGAGAUGUGUCGCAAAGAUUUGGUGUAUGUCAUGCAACAACUUUCAGGCAGAAUGACCGAGUACUUAAUUUUUUAUUUGACAUGGCUCUAAAAACCAUAAAAUUUGAAGACAACGAAGUUUCUGCAAACGAGUUCUUACAAAUUGCUGGUAUUUCUAAUGUAAUUGGCUGUAUCGAUGGUACGUCGAUAAAAGUACGAACACCAGCGCAUAAAAUUAAAUCAAACUACGUAAAUAGGCAUGAUAUUCCUGCAAUCACAUUAUGAGGUAUAUGUGAUGCUCGAAAAAGAUUUAUCGUUGUCUUCACUGGGAUUCCAACAAAGAUCCACGAUUCGCGAGUAAAGUUAUCGGACAUCAAUAAUGAUUUACCACAAAUCUGUGAUGGAAAAUUUCAUAUAUUAGGAGACGCAGCAUAUCCCAUAAGAGAAUGGCUACUGGUUCCCUAUAGGGAUUAUGGAAAUCUGUUCGAUAAGCAGCGAAAUUUUAAUAAAAAAUUUUGUGCAACUCGAGUGUUAAUCGAAAAUGCAUUUGGACUCUUGAAAAAUCGUUUUCGACAACUUACUGAAUUAGAUCUUCAUAGCGUUGAUAAAAUGUCUAAAUUCAUAAUUCUUGUUGCGUCUUGCAUAACUUAUGCAUUGACAACAACGAUGAUUUUAUUUUGAAUAAUGAUAUCGAGUUAGACAAUCAAGAACUAAAUGAUGAAGGUAGAGGAGAACAAGAAACUCUACUCCGGAGAUUAGGAGAAAUUAAAAGAGAUCAUUUAUUAAAUGUACUUUUUCCAUGAAAUAAAGCCUGAUACAACAAUACUUAAAUUAUAUAUUGCAUAUGUAUUUGUUUGUAUGUAAACCAUAAUAAUAAACAUUUUUGUUUAUAAAUAUUCAGAUUUAUUUAUUUUUGGUAGCGAAAAAACUUAUUUGCUAAGAGUAAUAUUACAUUGGUUUAGUAAUAUUAUUGGUAAUAAUAUUACUAGACCAAUACUAUAUCUGCGAUUUCUAAAUUUGUAAAAAAA